GGUCUGUCAGGAAGAGAAGCCAUCAUGAGUCUUAUACCCAGCUGUAAAUCCUCACGGUUCUGGUGUAAUAGUGUCAUCAUCUGUUAUGUAGAGAUCAGUGGAAGACACGGGAACCGGAGUGGUCACAUUUCAGGAUUCUGAAGACAGAAGAAUUACGAGGGGGUUCGUGGAAAUGGCUCAGUGAGGAUGGACAGCUAAGUUCAAUUCCUGGAGCCUAGGGUAGAAGAAGAGAAUUGACUUCACCAUCUGAGCACUAACCUCGCGGGCACGCUGGGCUGCACGUGAACCACCCC
rnacentral:lncRNA from 1 species